rnacentral:rRNA from 1 species
UACGGAGGGCGCGAGCGUUGUCCGGAAUCACUGGGCGUAAAGGGCGCGUAGGCGGCCCUGGUAAGUCUGCGGUGAAAGCCCGGGGCUCAACCCCGGGUCGGCCGCGGGUACUGCCGGGCUGGAGUGCCGUAGGGGCAGGCGGAAUUCCUGGUGUAGCGGUGGAAUGCGCAGAUAUCAGGAGGAACACCGGUGGCGAAGGCGGAUCUCUGGGCCAUAACUGACGCUGAGGAGCGAAAGCAUGGGGAGCGAACAGG